GUUAAACGCUGGCGGCAUGCCUUACACAUGCAAGUCGAACGGCAGCACGGGGGCAACCCUGGUGGCGAGUGGCGGACGGGUGAGUAACACAUCGGAACGUGCCCUGGAGUGGGGGAUAACGCAGCGAAAGCUACGCUAAUACCGCAUAUUCUGUGAGCAGGAAAGCAGGGGAUCGCAAGACCUUGCGCUUUGGGAGCGGCCGAUGUCGGAUUAGCUAGUUGGUGGGGUAAAGGCUUACCAAGGCGACGAUCCGUAGCGGGUCUGAGAGGAUGAUCCGCCACACUGGGACUGAGACACGGCCCAGACUCCUACGGGAGGCAGCAGUGGGGAAUUUUGGACAAUGGGCGGAAGCCUGAUCCAGCCAUGCCGCGUGAGUGAAGAAGGCCUCGGUUGUAAGUACGUC
rnacentral:rRNA from 1 species